GGAAUAAAAGUCGUAACAAGGUCUCCGUAGGUGAACCUGCGGAGGGAUCAUUUCCACAAGCGGGGCCGGCUCGCAAGAGUCGCACCCCAGCCUUACCCAACCCGGUGCACUUUUGGAGUUCUGGGGGCCGCCGGCGGCGCCGCGGAUUCGUUUCCGCGCGGUUCGCCUCCGCCCCCAUUUCCUCUUUCAAAAGACCCAUCCAACUGUUAACUUACAACUAUAUAUGAAAAACCAAAACAACUUUAAGCAAUGGAUGUCUUGGUUCUC
rnacentral:misc_RNA from 1 species